rnacentral:misc_RNA from 1 species
AGAUCCGUCUUGAAAUCCUGAGCGAUCUCCCUCACCAGCCUCUGAAACGGCAACUUCCUGAUCAACAACUCCGUCGACUUCUGAUACUUCCUGAUUUCUCUUAAAGCCACAGUUCCUGGACGGAAACGGUGAGGCUUUUUCACUCCUCCAGUUGCCGGAGCAGAUUUUCUCGCUGCCUUAGUUGCUAGUUGCUUCCUUGGUGCCUUACCACCAGUGGAUUUGCGAGCUGUUUG